rnacentral:lncRNA from 1 species
CAGUGUUGAUGGAGGGUGCGAAUCAUAUACACUUCUUUUUCCUUGAUAAUGUGGAGGAAUGGGUCCACAUGAAAACAUGCCAAAGAAUUAGGAGAUGCGUGGGAUUUGCGCCUCUGGGCACAAUGUGAAGAAAAGGGAGCCACACAGCGAGAGUGCUUAUGUGACUCCCAAGUUUUCUGUUUUGUUGUUCAGUUUUGGGUCCCACGUAUCAAGUUGAAUUCAUUUAGAUUAUUAAAUCACCGUUUAGGAAGUUAUCCAAUGGAGAAAGAAGAAAUUGGAAUGACGGACUCUCCUGUAUGGAUUUGCUUCAAUUAUGCUCUCUAAAACUUCGUCUCCACGAAGGAAGAAGAAAUUCUCCAUUCUUUUUUUCCCCUAAAUUCUCAAGGUAUGAAUAACAAUGAAGCUGUGGUCUUAUUAAUAAAAAAAUUCUAUUCCCAAGUUUCGUAGUAACAAUAUGAAGCUGUGGUCUUAUUAAUAAAAAAAUUCUAUUCCCAAGUUUCGUAGUAACAAUAAGAAACCAAAAGAAAACUAAAUCAAAUUAAAUCUUCCCAAAUAAAAUUAAAUAAAAUUAAGAAAACUAAUCAACUAAGUUCUAAUUGAUUCCAAAUUCAAAUCCAAAUAGAAUCACAAAUCUUAAUUGAAUCCCAAAUAAAAUCUCAAUCAAAUAAAAUAAAGAAAAUUCCCAAAAUUGAAUAAUAAUAUCAUUUAUGAAAUUUUACGAUUUGUUAGGCUUCGAUUAGGUAAGAUAUCAAUAUAACCAAUUCAGGAUUGACUCUAACUUGAGUUGGAUAGCCAGUUUGCAUCACCUCUGUAGAAGCAGUUCCUUUGCCUAACCAACUUUUUAAUUAGGUGAUGUGAGUUGCCCUAUCCUGAUUUAUGAGCGUCCCUUAUCCUCCUAGGAACAAGCCCUACUCAAGAACCACUUUUGUAGAAGCUCCAACUUGCUUGUUGGGUGCAAACCCGUGAGUAGGAAGUUCCCGUACAUGGGGUGGAGGGAACCCUCCACUCAUCAGCAGUGGGAUGGCCCUGUGUGCAGGAAAUCCUUGUGCACUGGGCUGCAGGGAAUCCUUGCUAAUCAAAAUGGGCACUUAGUUCUGUAACUAAUUUACCGAGGGACGGUAUUUGCUUUUUAAUAAGGUGAAAGCAGAUUAUGCUUGGAUUUUAAUAUGGCUUAAAUUGUGUGCAAGAAACUUGAAAUGCCCCUUCCCUAAAGUAUAAUUUGAUCGGGCUCAUUUUGUUAGCUUGAUGCUAAAGGUUGAUAACAAGUUUCCUUUGUAAAUAUGCUUAGACUAAAUUGUUUGCUUGCAUCUAAUUUAUUUGGUAUAGAGCAUCACUUUAUAUUAUAGUUAAGAAUUUUCUUAGGCGGAAUGCAUACAUCUCACCCUCAUGUACUACAGUACUACACUUUUGGAGGUCUCACUUUAGUAGGAUGGUCAUUGAUUUCCUUGUGUUGGCUAGUGUUAUUGCUUUGAGCCGUACAAAUCUGCUUCCAUGUAAGGCUGUGUAUCUCUUGCCUCCUAGAUACUCCAGUGACGAGAGCCUCAUGCAUUAGGCAUGUUAAGUUACAAAGCUUUUUCUUGCACAAUAUUCAGCAGGCAUGGAUUAAAACUGUUAACUGGUUUUGAAAAUGUUAGAUGGGGGCCAUGGGGCUUAGCUUUAGCAAUUAGAUGGAGAUAAUCUUGUUUUGGAAGGUCUCAAUUAAAGGGUUUUAAUAUGGUAAUGUUCCAAGAGAUAAUAACCUCUUUUGGUUUUCUUUUUUUAAUUUUUUCCCCCUCAAAAAUGCAGUAUACAAGUUGCUCUUGAUAAUCAAAAUCUAUAGAAAUUUCCCGUGGCUUUAUGAGAAGUCUCUUUAAGGGGCUACAACAAUAAAGGAGAGGGUAAAAUGACAAAAAUUACUCCUAUCAGUCCUUUAGCAUAAAGAUAGCUUCGAAAGGGGAGGGCAAUUCAGGUAUUUAAGACUUUUAAUGUAUACUUUAGAAUAGAUUCUACUGAAACCCUAGUGGAAGAUUGAUGAACAGGGGCUAAAAUGUGGGGGUUUUCUGCAGGUUUUGAUUAUUGAAAGAGAAAAGAGAAGGAAGAGGGAUUUUUUGGCAGGUUUUGGUUUGGGAGGAGGGUGAUGAUGCUCCUCAAAUACCGUGGCAGCAUGGUUCUAACAUCUAUCAGUCUGUAAAGUAGGCUCAAUUGGUAGUGUGGCUUCUUUUAAUUGGUAAAAUCAGAUGUCAUGUGUGAUAGAUUAGUUCUACGACAAGAAUGCUGUUUUGGAAGGCCCAGGCAAACUUUUGAGUGGGGUUGGCUUGGAAAUCAUCUUCAAUGACUUUUUGAUCGAAACCGAGGAGUCUUGUCUGGUUUGACCUGCUGUACUUUUUAGGUGUAACCUGUCUUGUUGCUUGGUGAUACUAGCAUAUUGGAUGCUUCUCUGGAAAAGUUUGUGAAGAUUGUAGAGAGUUCAAUUAUUCCAAUUUCAUGCUUGGGCUUGCAUAUUAUACAGCUGAUGUCCUUUUGUUGGUCAGUUUUUUUUCACUUCGGAAUGAUCUGAGCUGUUGCUUGUAUAGUUUAUGUGCCAGGUUUUCCUUGUUGAGUUGGUCUGCUUGUAGUCCUGUAGCAAUAAAUUCUUC